GACGUAGGGGGCCAGCGUUGUUCGGAAUUACUGGGUGUAAAGGGUUCGUAGGCGGUGUAGCAAGUCGGGAGUGAAAUCUCUGGGCUUAACCCAGAAAGGUCAACCGAUACUGCGGGGCUAGAGUGCAGAAGGGGCAACUGGAAUUCUCGGUGUAGCGGUGAAAUGCGUAGAUAUCGAGAGGAACACCUGCGGCGAAGGCGGGUUGCUGGGCUGACACUGACGCUGAAGCGCGAAAGCUAGGGGAGCGAACGGG
rnacentral:rRNA from 1 species